UACAGAGACUGCAAGCGUUAUUCGGAUUCACUGGGCGUAAAGGGUGCGCAGGCGGCCGUGUGUGUCAGGUGUGAAAGCCCGGGGCUCAACCCCGGGUCGGCCGUGCCGACUGUUGAACUCGAGGGCUGUAGAGGCAGACGGAAUUCCGGGUGUAGCGGUGGAAUGCGUAGAGAUCCGGAGGAAGACCGGUGGCGAAGGCGGUCUGCUGGGCCGACACUGACACUGAGAGACGAAAGCUAGGGGAGCGAAUGGG
rnacentral:rRNA from 1 species